rnacentral:rRNA from 1 species
CAGUAGCCGCGGGAAUACGUAGGUGGCAAGCGUUGUCCGGAAUUAUUGGGCGUAAAGGGCUCGCAGGCGGUUUCUUAAGUCUGAUGUGAAAGCCCCCGGCUCAACCGGGGAGGGUCAUUGGAAACUGGGAAACUUGAGUGCAAGAGGGGAGAGUGGAAUUCCAUGUGUAGCGGUGAAAUGCGUAGAUAUAUGGAGGAACACCGGUGGCGAAAGCGGCUCUCUGGCUUGUAACUGACGCUGAGGCUCGAAAGCGUGGGGAGCAAACAGGAUUAGAUACCCGUGUAGUCCCUGUCUCUUAUAC